UACGUAGGGUGCGAGCGUUAAUCGGAAUUACUGGGCGUAAAGCGUGCGCAGGCGGUUUUGCAAGCCGGAUGUGAAAUCCCCGGGCUCAACCUGGGAAUGGCAUUCGGGACUGCAAGGCUGGAGUGCGGCAGAGGAGACUGGAAUUCCUGGUGUAGCAGUGAAAUGCGUAGAUAUCAGGAGGAAUACCGAUGGCGAAGGCAGGUCUCUGGGCUGACGCUGACGCUCAUGCACGAAAGCGUGGGGAGCAAACAGG
rnacentral:rRNA from 1 species